AACAUUGAGACACCAGUUCCCAUAUGAUCACUGAAGUUAAGCAACAUUGAACUUUGUCAGUACCUAAAUGAGUGACUGCUUGGGAGUACCAGGUGCUGUAAG